GGGAGUAUGGUGUAGUCUGGUCUAUCAUCGGGGACUCCAAGUGCCUAUACGGGCUUGGACCGAAACCCGAUGCAGGAGAUAUCCCUGGACCUGGGUUCAAAUCCCAGUACUCCCA
rfam:Methanococcus voltae A3, complete genome.